AGAGCUUGCUCUGGUUGAUCAGUGGCGAACGGGUGAGUAACACGUGAGUAACCUGCCCUUGACUCUGGGAUAACUCCGGGAAACCGGGGCUAAUACCGGAUACGAGACGCGACCGCAUGGUCGGCGUCUGGAAAGUUUUUCGGUCAAGGAUGGACUCGCGGCCUAUCAGCUUGUUGGUGAGGUAAUGGCUCACCAAGGCGUCGACGGGUAGCCGGCCUGAGAGGGCGACCGGCCACACUGGGACUGAGACACGGCCCAGACUCCUACGGGAGGCAGCAGUGGGGAAUAUUGCACAAUGGGCGAAAGCCUGAUGCAGCGACGCCGCGUGAGGGAUGAAGGCCUUCGGGUUGUAAACCUCUUUCAGUAGGGAAGAAGCGAAAGUGACGGUACCUGCAGAAGAAGCGCCGGCUAACUACGUGCCAGCAGCCGCGGUAAUACGUAGGGCGCAAGCGUUGUCCGGAAUUAUUGGGCGUAAAGAGCUCGUAGGCGGUUUGUCGCGUCUGGUGUGAAAACUCAAGGCUCAACCUUGAGCUUGCAUCGGGUACGGGUAGACUAGAGUGUGGUAGGCGUGACUGUAAUUCCUGUUGUAGCGGUGCAAUGCGCAGAUAUGAGAGGAACACCGAUGGCGAAGGCUGGUCAG
rnacentral:rRNA from 1 species